CCUCGGGCUCCCAGCCUCUAAAAACAAGCAACAAGGUUGCUGCUGCUAAGUCACUUCAGUCGUGCCGACUGUGUGACCCCACAGACGGCAGCCCACCAGGUUCCCCCAUCCCUGGGAUUCUCCAGGCAAGAACACUGGAGUGGGUUGCCAUUUCCUUCUCCAAUGCAUGAAAGUGAAAAGUGAAAGUGAAGUCGCUCAGUCGUGUCCAACCCUCAGCGACCCCAUGGACUGCAGCCCACCAGGCUCCUCCAUCCAUGGGAUUUUCCAGGCAAGAGUACUGGAGUGGGGUGCCAUUGCCUUCUCCAAGCAACAAGGUUAGCAGCAGUGAAGAGACUGUGUUCAUUCCUCAUCUAUCAGCAGAACCAAAUACAGUGGCUUCCUUGCUGAAAAUUGCAUUCAUUGUUACCACCAAGAAACUGUUGAAUGUUUUCUGGUUUGCUGCUGCUGCUAAGUCGCAUCAGUUGUGUCUGAUUCUGUGCGACCCCAGAGACGGCAGCCCACCAGGCUCCCCCGUCCCUGGGAUUCUCCGGGCAAGAACACUGGAGUGGAUUGCCAUUUCCUUCUCCAAUGCAUGA
rnacentral:lncRNA from 1 species